CCUCUCGUGGUGUAGGGGUAACGCGCCCUAUCUGUCUAGUGAACAGGGAGCUGUGAGUUCGAUUCCCACCGAGAAGA
rnacentral:tRNA from 1 species